rnacentral:siRNA from 1 species
GGGCUUUUGAUACGCUUGUGGA